rnacentral:rRNA from 1 species
UACCCGCUGAAACUUAAGCAUAUCAAUAAGCGGAGGAAAAGAAACUAACAAGGAUUCCCCUAGUAACUGCGAGUGAAGCGGGAAAAGCUCAAAUUUAAAAUCUGGUAGUCUUUGGCUGCCCGAGUUGUAAUCUAGAGAAGCAUUAUCCGCGCUGGACCGUGUACAAGUCUCCUGGAACGGAGCGUCAUAGAGGGUGAGAAUCCCGUCUUUGACACGGACUACCAGGGCUUUGUGAUGUGCUCUCAAAGAGUCGAGUUGUUUGGGAAUGCAGCUCUAAAUGGGUGGUAAAUUCCAUCUAAAGCUAAAUAUUGGCGAGAGACCGAUAGCGAACAAGUACCGUGAGGGAAAGAUGAAAAGAACUUUGGAAAGAGAGUUAAACAGUACGUGAAAUUGUUGAAAGGGAAACGCUUGAAGUCAGUCGCGUUUGCCGGGGAUCAGCCUUGCUCUUUUGCUUGGUGUACUUCCUGGUCGACGGGUCAGCAUCAAUUUUGACCGGUGGAUAAAGGUCAGGGAAUGUGGCAUCCUCGGAUGUGUUAUAGCCCUUGGUGCAUACAUCGGUUGGAUUGAGGAACUCWGCACGCCGCAAGGCCGGCCUGAAUAGGUGAAGCCAGAGGAAACUCUGGUGGAGGCUCGUAGCGAUUCUGACGUGCAAAUCGAUCGUCGAAUUU